rnacentral:rRNA from 1 species
UACGGGGGGGGUAAGCGUUGUUCGGAUUUACUGGGCGUAAAGCGCACGUAGGCGGAUCUUUAAGUCAGAGGUGAAAUCCCAAGGCUCAACCUUGGAACUGCCUUUGAUACUGGGGAUCUUGAGUCCGGGAGAGGUGAGUGGAACUGCGAGUGUAGAGGUGAAAUUCGUAGAUAUUCGCAAGAACACCAGUGGCGAAGGCGGCUCACUGGCCCGGUACUGACGCUGAGGUGCGAAAGCGUGGGGAGCAAACAGG